UCAUGUAACCAGAUGAGCAUACUCGGCAAUAAAGUCGUCUCCCGUGGCGCCCUGAAAUGCACUGAUUAGAAAGUAUAAACACAGAGAAAAUAGACGUGAACAUAUACAAAAUUAUUGGUAUAAACAAUUACUAAACUCAUAAUAUCAUGUGAGAAAACUACAAAAUGGCGAUUAUAUGACAUCAUUCUAAAUAAUACCACAAACUUUAAUAAUGAACGACCACAAUCACAUACAACGCAUUACAUGUUUAAAUCAGAAUAAGGAGAAAUGCAUAAAUUAUUGAUUUCAAUAUCAUAUAUCAAGCAACAAACUCAAUGUUUAAAAUUGUUGCAUUAUACUUAUUUUCCGUCAACUAAAAUCAAUAACAAUGAUUUAUAUCCACAGUAAAAAAAGAAAGCGUCAGUAAAAAGACGCGUGAGGGAUUGAAAUAAAGACAAACUUUCAUUUUUUCGUCAACGAAAGUAAAAAGAGAUUGUGAUUGUUUUAUUUCAAUGGCAAGUCAUACCAAAGUAAUAUUGGAGAGUGUACAAAUUUUCGGUAUGAGCUUUUAGGAUGAUCAAGUUAUCUUUUGCUGCGUUUCUAUACACUAAGGCAAAAACACUAAGUGAAUUAACAAAUUAAUUGUAUAAUUCGAAUAUUAUGAAAACGUUACGCUUGUCUGUUUUGGGGAUAAGUUAUUAUAAGAAAAGUGGUCUAAGCAUGUUUUUGUAGUUGUAUUUGGUGAAUCAGGUCAUUUGGCAAAGAUGAUCAUUUUAUUAACUGUUUCAUUAAGCUUAUUCUAAAACCUUAUAUAAGGGGAACCAAACGUUGCAAUUAUAGGUUUGUUACCCAAUACACACGAUCCACCAUUUCUUUCAUGUUUGUUCUAGUUAAUUAUUGCGGAAUUAAAGGUAGAGUUAGAAAUCACUGCCUCUGAUUAUGUGCAUCGCAGAAGAAUUCCGUAACCACCUGAACAUUUUGUCAAACAGAUGAAUUGGACGGCCAGUUACGGUGGCAUCCUGAUAGGAAAAUCGAGGCGAGUUGGAUCCGUGGCCGUCUUAAUAGGUUCAAUCUUCAAAGGUGCAGACUAGAUGUCACACUGGGAGCACCUUUGCGGCGGAACUUAGUAUCUUUUUGGAACGGUACAACUUUGUACUUCCCUUGAAGGUGCAAAUAAGAACCUUUGGAGUGCAAUUCUGCACUUUAUAUGUGCAACUUUGCACCUUUCAGAGAGGUGCAGAUUUCCAAAAAGGUUCAAAGUUGCACAUUAAAGAUGCUCCCGAUGUGACAUCGUGUCUGCACCUUGUAAAGAUGCAAAGUUUAACCCAUUUUUCUUAGUAGUGUUGAAACAAUGAGAAUUACUUGCAAGUAAAACACAAUACGAUAACGUUCCGAUGAAUAAUGCAAUCGUGGAACGGGAGCCAUUGUUGUUUCAUGAAACAUUUUUUUUUCCUGUUUUGUG